rnacentral:lncRNA from 1 species
GCGCGCAUCACUGCCUUCUUUGAUUGGUCAAGCCUUCUGCCAAUAUUCUCGCUUUUUUGGCAACGAUUAGCUGUGAGGAGGCACAACUGGACCCGCCUUCUCCGAACUCAAUUAAAGAGUUCAUUGAUGGCGUUAAUCUUUACGGGGCAGAAAAUAGAUCCGGCUAAGGUGGGCGGGGCAGCAGGCGCGGAGGGAUCCUUGGCCUUUGAGGAAGGCGACGAGAAGCUCGGCGGCCAUCGCCGCCAUUUUGGGCUGGGAGGAGGCAGCGGAGGGACUCGCUGCGCAAUGUUUUACAACUGGAUUACAAAAUAGGAUCAUCAUUGACUAGGGUCCUCAAUCCAAAACUGGAACCACUUACUCCUAACUGAAGCUUCAGUACACUUGAUGCCUACUGUGGUUUGAUUUUUUACCUACAUAUGACAUGUUCGCUCUACACUGAUCAAGAGAUCAUCAAGAAAGAAAACCAAGGCACUAGAAAGCAAGCACACUUAAGCUCUCCGUGUGGUACCGCUCGUACGUCUCCGAGAAGUCCCGCUGCAGAAACUCGCUGCCGUCCC